UAGCUCAGUUGGUAAAGAAUCUGCCUGCAAUGCAGGAGGCCCUGGUUCAAUUCCUGG
rnacentral:tRNA from 1 species